rnacentral:rRNA from 1 species
AGUGAACGCUGGCGGUAGGCCUAACACAUGCGAGUCGAACGGCAGCACAGUAAGAGCUUGCUCUUACGGGUGGCGAGUGGCGGACGGGUGAGGAAUACAUCGGAAUCUACUUUUUCGUGGGGGAUAACGUAGGGAAACUUACGCUAAUACCGCAUACGACCUACGGGUGAAAGCAGGGGAUCUUCGGACCUUGCGCGAUUGAAUGAGCCGAUGUCGGAUUAGCUAGUUGGCGGGGUAAAGGCCCACCAAGGCGACGAUCCGUAGCUGGUCUGAGAGGAUGAGAGGCAGCAGUGGAGAGACGAGAAGGACGAGACUAAUAAGGGAGGCAGCAGUGGGGAAUGGUGAACAGUGGGCGAAAGUCUGACGGAGAAAUGGCGGGGGAGGGAGGACAGUCUUCGGAUCGUAAAACUCUGUUAUGAGGAAAAAACAUAUGGGUAAGGAAGUGUGCGCAAAAGGACGUUAGCUAAUAAGGAAGCAACGGCUGAGUACGUG